rnacentral:rRNA from 1 species
GUGGGGAAUAUUGGACAAUGGGCGAAAGCCUGAUCCAGCCAUGCCGCGUGUGUGAAGAAGGUCUUCGGAUUGUAAAGCACUUUAAGUUGGGAGGAAGGGCAGUAAGUUAAUACCUUGCUGUUUUGACGUUACCGACAGAAUAAGCACCGGCUAACUUCGUGCCAGCAGCCGCGGUAAUACGAAGGGUGCAAGCGUUAAUCGGAAUUACUGGGCGUAAAGCGCGCGUAGGUGGUUUUGUAAGUUGGAGGUGAAAUCCCCGGGCUCAACCUGGGAACUGCCUCCAAAACUGCAUGACUAGAGUACGGUAGAGAGUAGUGGAAUUUCCUGUGUAGCGGUGAAAUGCGUAGAUAUAGGAAGGAACACCAGUGGCGAAGGCGACUACCUGGACUGAUACUGACGCUGAGGCGCGAAAGCGUGGGGAGCAAACAGGAUUAGAUACCCGUGUAGUCC